UACAGAGGGUGCGUGCGAUAACCGGAUUUACUGGGCGUAAAGCGUGCGUAGGCGGCUUUUUAAGUCGGAUGUGAAAUCCCCGAGCGUAACUUGGGAAUUGCAUUCGAUACUGGGAAGCUAGAGUAUGGGAGAGGAUGGUAGGAUUCCAGGUGUAGCGGUUAAAUGCGUAGAGAUCUGGUGGAAUACCGAUGUCGAAGGCAGCCAUCUGGCCUAAUACUGACGCUGAGGUACGAAAGCAUGGGGAGCAAACAGG
rnacentral:misc_RNA from 1 species